UACGUAGGGGGCUAGCGUUGUCCGGAUUUAUUGGGCGUAAAGAGCGUGUAGGCGGCCAGGUAGGUCUGCUGUGAAAACUCGAGGCUCAACCUCGAGACGUCGGCGGAAACCAUCUGGCUAGAGUCCGGAAGAGGAGAGUGGAAUUCCUGGUGUAGCGGUGAAAUGCGCAGAUAUCAGGAAGAACACCCGUGGCGAAGGCGGGUUGCUGGGCUGACACUGACGCUGAGGCGCGAAAGCCAGGGGAGCGAACGGG
rnacentral:rRNA from 1 species